rnacentral:rRNA from 1 species
UACAGAGGUCUCAAGCGUUGUUCGGAUUCAUUGGGCGUAAAGGGCGCGUAGGCGGCACUGUUAGUCAGGCGUGAAAGUCCUGGGCUCAACCUGGGAACUGCGCUUGAUACGGCAGAGCUAGAGGAUGGAAGAGGCUCGCGGAAUUCCCAGUGUAGAGGUGAAAUUCGUAGAUAUUGGGAAGAACACCGGUGGCGAAGGCGGCGAGCUGGUCCAUUACUGACGCUGAGGCGCGACAGCGUGGGGAGCAAACAGG